UUUUUACGGAGAGUUUGAUUCUGGCUCAGAACGAACGCUGGCGGCGUGUUUAAGACAUGCAAGUCGCACGGAAUAAGUUGAGUAGUAAUACCUAACUUGUUUAGUGGCGCACGGGUGAGUAACACGUGAAUUACAUGCCCUUCAGUGGGGGAUA
rnacentral:rRNA from 1 species